GGAGGGGGGGACGGUUUAUUNAAAUUUCUGCCCUAUCAACUUUNGAUGGNNAGGUAUUGGCUUACCAUGGUUUCAACGGGUAACGGGGAAUUAGGGUUCGAUUCCGGAGAGGGAGCCUGAGAAACGGCUACCACAUCCAAGGAAGGCAGCAGGCGCGCAAAUUACCCAAUCCCGACACGGGGAGGUAGUGACAAUAAAUACUGAUACAGGGCUCUUUUGGGUCUUGUAAUUGGAAUGAGUACAAUUUAAACCUCUUAACGAGGAACAAUUGGAGGGCAAGUCUGGUGCCAGCAGCCGCGGUAAUUCCAGCUCCAAUAGCGUAUAUUAAAGUUGUUGCAGUUAAAAAGCUCGUAGUUGAAACUUGGGUCUGGCUGGCAGGUCCGCCUCACCGCGUGUACUUGUCCGGCCGGGCCUUCCUUCUGGAGAACCUCAUGCCCUUCACUGGGCGUGUUGGGGACCAGGACUUUUACUUUGAAAAAAUUAGAGUGUUCAAAGCAGGCCUUUGCUCGAAUACGUUAGCAUGGAAUAAUAGAAUAGGACGUGCGGUUCUAUUUUGUUGGUUUCUAGGACCGCCGUAAUGAUUAAUAGGGACAGUCGGGGGCAUCAGUAUUCAAUUGUCAGAGGUGAAAUUCUUGGAUUUAUUGAAAACUAACUACUGCGAAAGCAUUUUGCCAAGGAUGUUUUCAUUAAUCA
rnacentral:rRNA from 1 species